rnacentral:rRNA from 1 species
AACGAACGCUGGCGGCGCGCCUAACACAUGCAAGUCGAACGAGAAGCUGUAGCAAUACAGUUGUACAGUGGCGAACGGGUGAGGAAUACAUGGGUGACCUACCCUCGAGUGGGGAAUAACCAGCCGAAAGGUUGGCUAAUACCGCGUACGUUUCCCAGUCUGCGGAUUGGGAAGGAAAGCGAUGCCGUGGGUAUCGCGCUCAAGGUUGGGCUCAUGUCCUAUCAGCUGUUGGUGAGGUAACGGCUCACCAAGGCAACGACGGGUAGCUGGUCUGAGAGGACGAUCAGCCACACUGGCACUGCGACACGGGCCAGACUCCUACGGGAGGCAGCAGUGAGGAAUAUUGCGCAAUGGGCGAAAGCCUGACGCAGCGACGCCGCGUGGGGGAUGAAGGUCUUCGGAUUGUAAACCCCUUUCGGGAGGAAGGAUGGGACGAGCAAUCGUUCGGACGGUACCUCCAGAAGCAGCCACGGCUAACUUCGUGCCAGCA